rnacentral:rRNA from 1 species
CACGUAGGGUGCGAGCGUUGUCCGGAAUUAUUGGGCGUAAAGAGCUCGUAGGCGGUGUGUCGCGUCGGCCGUGAAAACCUGCAGCUUAACUGUGGGCUUGCGGUCGAUACGGGCAUCACUGGAGUUCGGCAGGGGGAGACUGGAAUUCCUGGUGUAGCGGUGAAAUGCGCAGAUAUCAGGAGGAACACCGGUGGCGAAAGGCGGGGUCUCUGGGGCUGAUACUGACGUGAGGAGCGAAAAGCGUGGGGGAGCGA